CCGGCCAAGUGUGAGCUGAGUUCUAGGGUCCAUCUCCAACAGAGCAUAGGCCGGGCCUGGUGGUGCUUGUUAAGUAGACCUGGGCUCAGUUCCCAGCACCCACAGGGUGGCUCACAACUGCCUGUAACUCCAAGUACAGGGGACCUUGUACCCUCUUGUGAUGUCUGAGGAAGCUGCAGCCAUGAAUGCAUGAUUAAAAUGAAUUUUCAUCUACCUACGGUCCUCUCUUUUCUGGAAGUGACUCCCAGGGAAUGGUAGAAGAAACAAUUUGGUAAGAAUUAUUUGUCACUGGGACCAAAUUUUCACUGGAGUUACUGAAUGAAGAAAUCUUAGCUCCUGAGAGACAAAGUGAGGUCUGGCAGUGAAGGUCCUGGCCAGAAGAUCCCUCAGCAAAGAAUAGAAGGUAUGCAUGUGCUGAGCCAGGGCAGGAAGGGAACGGAAGCUUCAUCCUCCGCAGGUGUAGGGCAGAAGGCAUUGGCUGGCCAGGCAUGAGCAACAGUUGGGGGAAGGUAUUCCAUGGAGCGAGACACAAGAGAGCAAGUGAUGCCAGCAGACACAGAAAACCAAGGUGCAGCGAACCAGAGAUACAACCUGAAGACAGCUGGGUCUUGCUGAGUGGAGUUGGGAAGAUGAAGAAAGCAAGCCGGACGGAACGAGAGAAGGAGUGCACAUUUGCAUGUGUGCUAUGGAAAUGGAAGGCCCCAAAAGCUUCCCAUUCCAAAUGUGGCUGUUUUAGGGGCUGGAGAGAUGGAUCAGGGGUUAAGAGUGUGCAGCGCUCUUGCAGAAGAGCCUGCUUGGGUUCCCAACACCCAUGAUCACAUGGGUUAGCUCACAACCACCUGUAGCUCCAGCUCCAAGGAACUGCACAGCCUCUGGCCUCUGGGCACAAGCUCUCACGUCUUCUUUUAAACAAAAGACAGCUGCUUUAGAACUGGGGUUGUGCCUUGGCCACUAGGAAGGGAAGGGUUUACUUGGGACUUACGGUUCCAGACAUAUAGGGAUCCGUCAUCAUUGUGGCAACAAGCAUGGCUGCAGGCAGGCCUAACGCUGGAGCAGCAGCUGAGGGCUCACAACCAGAUCCACAAACACAAAGCAAAGAAAGGACUGGGGAUCGUGGGAGACUUCUGAAACUUUCCGUUCACCCCCCCUACCCCCGUGACAUGCCUUCUCCAACAAGGCCACACCUCCUAAUCCUUCUCAAACAGUUUCACUAACUCAGGACCAAGCAUUCAAAUAUAUGUUGGGGUAUAUUGUGGGAAAGUGUGUCGCUAUACAUUCAAUCGUUGCUUGCUAAACCAGCAGAGGCGUAAGCAUUAGCAGUGGGUCUUGGCAUUGUUAUUUCUGUGGUCCAUCACCGGUCGUGUAUUUUGUAAAUACUCAUCUCUCCUCGCUUGCCUAUUGAUUGAAAUGAAGAGCUGGUAGCUAAUAUCUGGGCAGGAAGUGGAGGGCAGAACUUCCCAGAGUG